rnacentral:rRNA from 1 species
AUCAACUUUCGAUGGUAGGAUAGAGGCCUACCAUGGUGGUAACGGGUAACGGGGUGUUAGGGCACGACACCGGAGAGGGAGCCUGAGAAACGGCUACCACAUCCAAGGAUGGCAGCAGGCGCGCAAAUUACCCAAUCCCGACACGGGGAGGUAGUGACAAUAAAUAACAAUACGGGGUUCUUUCGGAUCUCGUAAUUGGAAUGAGUACAAUUUAAAUCUCUUAACGAGGAACAAUUGGAGGGCAAGUCUGGUGCCAGCAGCCGCGGUAAUUCCAGCUCCAAUAGCGUAUAUUAAAGUUGUUGCAGUUAAAAAGCUCGUAGUUGAAUUUCGGGGUUAGUAGGUUGGUCAUGCCUCUGGUAUGUACUGGUCUCACUGAUUCCUCCUUCCUGAUGAACCGUAAUGCCAUUAAUUUGGUGUUGCGGGGAAUUUGGACCGUUACUUUGAAAAAAUUAGAGUGUUUAAAGCAAGCUAACGCUUGAAUACAUUAGCAUGGAAUAAUGAAAUAGGACGUUCGAUCCUAUUUUGUUGGUUUCUAGGAUUGACGUAAUGAUUAAUAGGGAUAGUUGGGGGCAUUAGCAUUCAAUUGUCAGAGGUGAAAUUCUUGGAUUUAUUGAAGACUAACUACUGCGAAAGCAUUUGCCAAGGAUGUUUUCAUUAAUCAAGAACGAAAGUUAGGGGAUCGAAGACGAUCAGAUACCGUCGUAGUCUUAACCAUAAACUAUGCCGACUAGGGAUCGGAUGAUGUUAAUUUUUUAAUGACUCAUUCGGCGCCUUACGGGAAACCAAAGUGUUUGGGUUC